AUGCUGCUCAAAUCAUACUCAUCAGCCUUCCUGUUAAACGGCGACCCUGGCGUCCCUCUCAUCCACCGCCGUGGGCUGCGGCAAGGAGACCCGUUGUCCCCGCUGUUGUUUAUCCUUGCCAUUGACAUCCUCCACCGGCUCAUAACAAAAGCUGCUGACGACGGCAUUCUUGCCCCGCUACCUGGAAGAGAACUGAAACUGCGCACCAACAUGUACGCUGAUGAUGCUGUCAUCUUCGCAAACCCAGUUCGGGAAGAGCUCGACAAACUAUUUCAGAUCAUCACCAGCUUUGGAGAAGCCUCAGGCCUUCACCUCAACAUCAGCAAGUGCACCAUCACGCCCAUUCGCUGUGACCACCUUAACCUUCAGGAAGUUCUGCAUGCGUUUGGCGGACAGAUUGUUGCCUUCCCAAUACGUUACUUGGGAUUACCAAUAAGCCUCGGACGUGCCAAAAUCGUUCACUUUCAGUUCAUCCUGGACCGCAUCCGAGCUUGUCUCGCUGGCUGGAAGCAUAAACUGAUGAAUAUCGCAGGGAGAAGAGUGCUUGUUCGGAGCGUUCUCUCGGCGAUCCCAACCUUUGCGCUCUCUGUUCUUCGGCCACCAAAGCUUCUAUUCAGAGAGAUUGAUAAAGACCACAGAAAAUUUCUUUGGACUCGAGAAGAAGAGCUUACUGGUGGCAAAUGCAAGGUUGCCUGGAAGCAAGUUUGUACGCCGACGGAAUACGGAGGCCUUGGCAUCCACGACCUACAGAAUUUCUCUCGCGCUUUGCGACUCAGAUGGUUGUGGCUGUCAUGGCAAACUGAUGGCAGACCUUGGAAGGGCUCGGACCUACCCUGCGACAAGGAUGACAAAGCCUUGUUCGACCAUGCAACCUUUGUAACUCUUGGAAACGACAGAACAGCUAACUUCUGGCAAUCCCCAUGGAUCACCUCUCCAAGCCUUGCCACUCUGUUUCCAGGACUGUUCAAGCGAUCACGGGGCAAAAACAGAUGCGUUGCUGAUGCACUUGAGAAUGACAAAUGGGUGCUGGACUUGAAGAUACGACCCAACGAGAACCCGAUUCACAGCUUCAUCAUCCUAUGGAGAGCACUGCGGGCCGAAGCAAUAUCGCUGCAACCUCAAGUGGAUGAUAAAAUCUCCUGGCAUCUUCACAGCGCGGGCGUGUACAGUGCAAAAUCUGCUUACAAAGAGCAAUUCAGCAGCUUACAGAAGACAGACGACAAACACCUGAUAUGGAAAACAUGGGCACCUGGGAACUUAAAAGUCUUCUUCUGGCUCUUGCUCAAAAACCGUCUUUGGUGCAACGAUCGACUCCAACGCAGAGGAUGGGAGAAUGGUUACUUCUGCGCUCUUUGCACAAGAAGCCUUGAGACGUCAGUACAUCUCUUCUGGGAGUGCCCGGUCAGUAAGGAAAUAUGGCGAAGGAUCUCGGCCUGGCAUGAAUGUGACAGACUACGGCGCCUUACCGCCCCCUCAAAUCACAACACCUCCUCCAUUUGCAUCAUGCGCAGCCUCAUUCAACAAUCAAGACCAAGACUCAGAGAAAAGCUCAAGACAAUGAUCUUCCUCGUCACAUGGCACAUUUGGAAGGAG
rnacentral:rRNA from 1 species